AAUCCUUUCUGCUAUUGCUGACGGUGAUCCCUCUAAUAGUAAAUAUGUUGUUAGACUUAUUGACCAUUUUAAGCAUAUAGGUCCAAAUGGACAGCAUUUAUGCAUGGUCCUUGAAUUUCUUGGUGACAGCUUAUUGUACCUCUAGACUUAUUGACCAUUUUAAGCAUACAGGUCCAAAUGGACAGCAUUUAUGCAUGGUCCUUGAAUUUCUUGGUGACAGCUUAUUGUACCUCGUCAAAUAUAAUCGUUAUAAAGGCCUUGAACUGAACAAAGUUAGGGAAAUAUGCAAGUGCAUUCUAACUGGUCUAGAUUAUUUGCACAGGGAACUUGGACUUAUUCAUACAGAUCUAAAACUUGAAAAUGUUCUUUU
rnacentral:lncRNA from 1 species